UUUGGAGAUGUUGAAGGGAAGGAGUAGCUUGGUUUGCCGUCGGGCUGAGUUCUGGAUGAACUCAGGUUCGGCAGCCGAAGGUUCAUUCGGCCGCCGAACCUCUUGCAUGGUGGCUUAGGCUGCCACAGCUUGCCCCCGCGAGUUUUGCAUGUUCGGCUCUGUUUGGGGAAUUCGGCCGCCGAAGCUUGAGAUUCGGCCGCCGAAGGUGCUUGAGUUUCGUCUCUGGAG
rnacentral:lncRNA from 1 species